AAAAUUAAAGCGUACUUCUUGCAACCAUUACAAACAAUUCAAAAAUGUGCAAAAUAAAGAGGGAGCAUCUGCCUAGGAUGUAAGAUUUGGAGAAAGGAAGAAAAUGUUCAGCAUCCAAGGAGAGGAGCUAAGUGAUCGGGGGUAGAUAGCUAACUGAAGAGCACAAUCCAAAAAGCAAAGGAGAACCAAGUCAGAAAAGAAUGUCUCCAAAGCCAAGGCCAGAAAAACCAAGAUUCGCAAAAGGAGGACCCACCAUCACCUGCCCAUGAGGAUCUUGCUCCAUAGCUCCCCCAGUGUGGCAACAUGGAGGGAGGGAGAGGGACAGGAAGUGACGUCAGAAGAGGCCAGCGAGACGCCCAGCAAGCUUAACGCUUGGGCUGUUCUUGCCAUCAGCACAAGGCUGAGAAGACGAUUCUGCUAUCAUGAGCGUUCUUCUUUAUGUCCUUGGCAUGGAGAGAACUGGCCACUGUUCUCAAGAGUGUUCCUCGUCCUGGCCGGCCAGCUUGCGCUGCUGGCAAAACAGCCAGCCAAGCCAGGGCACAGUUUUGCGGGACUUCGGGAGAAGCACAGACCACCCCGGCCUCAUCAGCCUGAGGCACCCAUGCCCUGGGCUGGGUCUGCAGCUACAGGUCAGCGUCCACGUGCAGGACAUAGGACAAAAGCUUCAGAAGAGGUCGGCAGCCCAUUCUGAUGGAGUUCUGACCAACUACAGGGGCCAAGCCCCAGUGAGCUGCGCUCUGAAGACUUGCCAGGCUUUCUAUUAAUGCCAGUUCCUGCAAACGGCCUGUACCCUGCCCUACUGCCCUCAGCCAGCUCCUCCACCUUGGGAGGCACCUACCAGAGUGUCUCCAGAAAGUCAAAGGCCACCCUAACCUGAGGUCAUUAACCUAGGACCUUGAACAAAGUUUAAGGUCCAAGUUCACAACUGCCACUGCUCUGCUGAGGAGGUAAUGAGAAGACCCCGUCUAAUGAGCUCCCUCAGUGAAGUAGCUCGAGCCCCUUGCAGGUUCCCUGGGAAAUUGGAUCAACUGCCCACCUCCCAAAACAACCGUGUUAGCAGUGUGGAUGCAGCUUGUUUUUAAAUAUCUAUAUGAGUAGCCAAUUAAUUGAUGUGACUGGCCCAAAGGAAGAAAUU
rnacentral:lncRNA from 1 species